rnacentral:rRNA from 1 species
UACGGGGGGGCAAGCGUUGUUCGGAAUUACUGGGCGUAAAGGGCUCGUAGGUGGCCAACUAAGUCAGACGUGAAAUCCCUCGGCUUAACCGGGGAACUGCAUCUGAUACUGGAUGGCUUGAGAUUGGGAGAGGGAUGCGGAAUUCCAGGUGUAGCGGUGAAAUGCGUAGAUAUCUGGAGGAACACCCGUGGCGAAAGGCGGCACUCUGGACCAGUACUGACGC